AAAACUCGGUUGAGGCUUUGCCUGCUAUCUCUUACCCAUGUCUUUUGAGUACCUUACGUUUCCUCGGUGGGUUCGCCCACCGAUUGGACAAAUUUAAACCCUUUGCAGUUGAAAUCAGCGUCUGAAAAAACUUAAUAGUUACAACUUUCAACAACGGAUCUCUUGGUUCUGGCAUCGAUGAAGAACGCAGCGAAAUGCGAUAAGUAGUGUGAAUUGCAGAAUUCAGUGAAUCAUCGAAUCUUUGAACGCACAUUGCGCCCCUUGGUAUUCCAUGGGGCAUGCCUGUUCGAGCGUCAUUUGUACCUUCAAGCUCUGCUUGGUGUUGGGUGUUUGUCUCCUGUAGACUCGCCUUAAAACAAUUGGCAGCCGGCGUAUUGAUUUCGGAGCGCAGUACAUCUCGCGCUUUGCACUCAUAACGACGACAUCCAAAAGUACAUUUUUACACUCUUGACCUCGGAUCAGGUAGGGAUACCCGCUGAACUUAAGCAUAUCAAUAAGCGGAGGAAAG
rnacentral:rRNA from 1 species